GUCUACAGCCAUACCACCCUGAAUGCGUCCAAUCUCUUCUGAUCUCGGAAGCUAAGCAGAGUUGGGCCCGAUUAAGACUUAGAUGAGAGCAUGUAAGCUCUCAGUGAUAGCAGGAA
ensembl:rRNA 5S_rRNA 5S ribosomal RNA